GGGAAAAGGGGGGGGGGGGGCGGCGGUAAUGCGGGGGGGGGAAGCGUUAUUCGGAAUUGUUGGGCGUGAAGGGCGCGUAGGGGGUUUCUUAAGGCGGAUGUGCAAUCCCCGGGCUCAACCCGGGAACUGCAUCCGAGACUGGGAGGCUAGAGUACUGGAGAGGGUGGUGGAAUUCCUCGUGUAGCGGUGAAAUGCGUAGAGAUGAGGAGGAACACCAGUGGCGAAGGCGGCCACCUGGACAGUAACUGACGCUGAGGCGCGAAAGCGUGGGUAGCAAACAGGAUUAGAUACCCUGUAGUC
rnacentral:rRNA from 1 species